UGACGGGGACCCGCACAAGCGGUGGAGCAUGUGGUUUAAUUCGAAGCAACGCGAAGAACCUUACCAAAUCUUGACAUCCUUUGACCCUUCUAGAGAUAGAAGUUUCCCCUUCGGGGGGACAAAGUGACAGGUGGUGCAUGGUUGUCGUCAGCUCGUGUCGUGAGAUGUUGGGUUAAGUCCCGCAACGAGCGCAACCCUUAAGCUUAGUUGCCAUCAUUAAGUUGGGCACUCUAAGUUGAC
rnacentral:rRNA from 1 species